UAUUGCACAAUGGGGGAAACCCUGAUGCAGCGACGCCGCGUGAGUGAAGAAGUACCUCGGUAUGUAAAGCUCUAUCAGCAGGGAAGAAAAUGACGGUACCUGACUAAGAAGCACCGGCUAAAUACGUGCCAGCAGCCGCGGUAAUACGUAUGGUGCAAGCGUUAUCCGGAUUUACUGGGUGUAAAGGGAGCGCAGGCGGCGCGGCAAGUCAGAUGUGAAAGCCCGGGGCUCAACCCCGGGACUGCAUUUGAAACUGCCGGGCUAGAGUAUCGGAGAGGCAAGUGGAAUUCCUAGUGUAGCGGUGAAAUGCGUAGAUAUUAGGAGGAACACCAGUGGCGAAGGCGGCUUGCUGGACGAUCACUGACGCUGAGGCUCGAAAGCGUGGGGAGCAAACAGG
rnacentral:rRNA from 1 species